GAUGAACGCUAGCUACAGGCUUAACACAUGCAAGUCGAGGGGAAACGACAUCGAAAGCUUGCUUUUGAUGGGCGUCGACCGGCGCACGUGUGAGUAACGCGUAUCCAACCUGCCCAUCACUUGGGAAUAACCUUGCGAAAGUAAGACUAAUACCCAAUGAUAUCCCACGAAGGCAUCGGAAUGGGAUUCAAGGUUUAUCGGUGAUGGAUGGGGAUGCGUUUGAUUAGCUUGUUGGCGGGGUAACGGCCCACCAAGGCAACGAUCAGUAGGGGUUCUGAGAGGAAGGUCCCCCACAGUGGAACGGAGACACGGUCCAAACUCCUACGGGAGGCAGCAGUGAGGAAUAUUGGUCAAGGGGGGAGAGCCUGAACCAGCCAAGUAGCGUGCAGGAAGACGGCGCUAGGGGUUGUAAACUGCUUUUAUAAGGGAAUAAAGUGGGUAACGUGUGACUUUUUGCAUGUACCUUAUGAAUAAGGACCGGCUAAUUCCGUG
rnacentral:rRNA from 1 species